UCGAUCUCAAAUCAAGUAAAACUACCCGCUGAACUU
rnacentral:rRNA from 3 species